rnacentral:lncRNA from 1 species
ACGCCACCUUGCCUUACAAAGAUACCUUCUUGGUAUCUUUCAUCAAGUUCAUAAUCAGGAUAUUCUGGAAAAAAAGGUAGGGUUUCAAUUUAGCAUUUGGGGUAGGGGGACUAAGAAAUAAGUCUAUGGCAAUUAUUGCAGAAAGCAAAUGAUCAUAUGUCUCACCAAGCAUUUCAGUGACUUUGACUGUUCCUGGUACCUCAGCAGGCUCACCAGGUCCACCAGCAUUACAAGCUAGGACGCGGAACCUGUAUUCUGCACCCUGAGAAUCAGAGGUGGGGAGAGUGGUGGAAGGGCCUGUGGACUUACGGAUGCUGCUGCGACACUCUAUGACCUCAGACUGCAAGUAAGAGCCAAUCCCGAAGCGGUUUGUUGCAGCCACACGGAACACAUACUCAUUUCCUUCGAUGAUAGCCAAUGACUCUACUUCCUCCAUCACUGAUUGGCUCAUUCCAUUGUACUUCCAUGCUGUCCCUGGAGGACAGUGUGACAACUGGAGUGCCAGGAGGACCAGGAACUUUGAAUGGAUAUUGGGCUACAGUAGGCUCUGAAUUGAGGUGGCUGCCAUGAGAUAGUCAUGUGUUCAGGAGUAACAUCCAGAAUAUUAAUAGGACCUGUUGGUGGCCCAGGAACAUCAAGAACAGUAAGAUGUACGGCUACUGUUUUGCUACCGGCUGCAUUGGAAACUGUGAUUUGAUAUUCCCCAGUGUCUCUCCUUAAGCAGUUCUUAAUGAGAAUAGACGCCUUGAUGGCUCCUCUGGCAGUUCUUGAUGACCAUGGAUGAGCUAAUGGCUGUGGUCUCAAUGGUGGCUUCUUGAGGAGCAUGCAGAGAAAUUGCUUUAGCCUCUGAUAAAUAAAACAGACUGCGAGGAAAAUUACAGCGAGGAAAUUACAGACAUCAUCUCCUUUGAACAGGGAAAAGGUAACAGGAACUACUUACAGAUUGGAUCAUGUGCUGUUUUGGGAUCUGAAGGUGGACUGAACUUUCCAGGUCCAGCUGCAUUUUCAGCACAUACUCUGAAGACAUAG